CCUUGACAUACUAAGAACUUUCCUAGAGAUGGAUUUGGUGCCUUUCGGGAACUUANAGUACAGGUGCUGCAUGGCUGUCGUCAGCUCGUGUCGUGAGAUUGUUGGGUUAAGUCCCGNAACGAGCGCAACCCUUUUUCCUUAUUUGCCAGCGGGUCAUGCCGGGAACUUUUAAGGAUACUGCCAGUGACAAACUGGAGGAAGGCGGGGACGACGUCAAGUCAUCAUGGCCCUUACGGCCAGGGCUACACACGUGCUACAAUGGUCGGUACAAAGGGUUGCUACCUCGCGAGAGGAUGCUAAUCUCAAAAAGCCGAUCGUAGUCCGGAUCGCAGUCUGCAACUCGACUGCGUGAAGUCGGAAUCGCUAGUAAUCGCGGAUCAGAAUGCCGCGGUGAAUACGUUCCCGGGCCUUGUACACACCGCCCGUCACACCAUGGGAGUUUGUUGCACCAGAAGUAGGUAGUCUAACCGCAAGGAGGACGCUUACCACGGUGUGGCCGAUGACUGGGGUGAAGUCGUAACAAGGUAGGCGUAGAUGA
rnacentral:rRNA from 1 species